rnacentral:rRNA from 1 species
AUUGAACGCUGGCGGCAUGCUUUACACAUGCAAGUCGAACGGUAACAGGUUAAGCUGACGAGUGGUGAACGGGUGAGUAAUGCAUCGGAACGUGCCCGAUCGUGGGGGAUAACGCAGAGAAAGCUGCGCUAAUACCGCAUACGAUCUGAGGAUGAAAGCGGGGGACCGUAAGGCCUCGCGCGAUCGGAGCGGCCGAUGUCAGAUUAGGUAGUUGGGGGGGUAAAGGCCCACCAAGCCGACGAUCUGUAGCUGGUCUGAGAGGACGACCAGCCACACUGGGACUGAGACACGGCCCAGACUCCUACGGGAGGCAGCAGUGGGGAAUUUUGGACAAUGGGCGAAAGCCUGAUCCAGCAAUGCCGCGUGCAGGAAAAAGGCCUUCGGGUUGUAAACUGCUUUUGUACGGAGCGAAAAGGUCUCCUCUAAUACAGGGGGCUCAUGACGGUACCGUAAGAAUAAGCACCGGCUAACUACGUGCCAGCCGCCGCAGUAA